rnacentral:lncRNA from 1 species
AAAAAAACCUUCAGUGUGCAUUCAGCCUUCUUGCAUCAACAUAAAGAAAUUCAUGAUGAAUAGAAUGCAGCAAACUCAUGAAAUAAUUAUAUAUGCUCUCCUGAUUGUAUAGACCUGCUCUAAGUAUUGUGGGGCAUAUUAUAAAAAUGUGAGGCUGUGUCACAUAAAAAUUGGCUCUGUUCCUUGAAAUGCUAUUAGUGUCCCUCUAGGAUUUUUCCAUUCUCGACGCUAGAAGCUUCAUCCUCGGGGAACCAUGAACCUUCUGACGAGGUCCAAGAACCCAGUACCCAGUUCCAGCUGCCAGGCUCACCCUCUUCUCCUUGUAGGACUCAGCGCCGUCUAGCCACAUGGCCAGGUUGCUCUGGACUGUAAAUAUCCCCAGAAUCACAGAAAGACAUGGAUGGCAUGAAAACUCCAACUCUGAACUGAGUCAUCUGAAAGCGUGUGAACCUAGAUGGCAUUAAAAUUCCAAACCUUGGAGUUCCCACUGUGAUGCAGCCUGCAACUGGGGUGGGC